GAUGCAACGCGAAGAACCUUACCAAGGCUUGACAUGAACCGGAAACGCCUGGAGACAGGUGCCCCGCUUGCGGUCGGUUUACAGGUGGUGCAUGGUUGUCGUCAGCUCGUGUCGUGAGAUGUUGGGUUAAGUCCCGCAACGAGCGCAACCCUCGUUCUAUGUUGCCAGCACGUGAUGGUGGGGACUCAUAGGAGACUGCCGGGGUCAACUCGGAGGAAGGUGGGGACGACGUCAAAUCAUCAUGCCCCUUAUGUCUUGGGCUUCACGCAUGCUACAAUGGCCGGUACAAAGGGUUGCGAUACUGUGAGGUGGAGCUAAUCCCAAAAAGCCGGUCUCAGUUCGGAUUGGGGUCUGCAACUCGACCCCAUGAAGUCGGAGUCGCUAGUAAUCGCAGAUCAGCAACGCUGCGGUGAAUACGUUCCCGGGCCUUGUACACACCGCCCGUCAAGUCACGAAAGUUGGUAACACCCGAAGCCGGUGGCCUAACCCCUUGUGGGAGGGAGCUGUCGAAGGUGGGACUG
rnacentral:rRNA from 1 species